UUUUGUUGGAAUAUUGCUGAAGAUCUAAAUUCCAUAUUACUUCAGAAGAUGAGCAGAACUGAAAAUUAAGUGAGCUGUGUUUUCCAAGUAAGUCAUGUAUGUAUUUUUAGAUGUUGAUGUAAGUAUGAUACUUUGCCACAUCAUUGGUUCUAU
rnacentral:lncRNA from 1 species